CAAUAAGCAAAAUAAGGGCGUAUGGGGAAUGCCUAGGCUCUCAGAGGCGAAGAAGGACGUGAUAAGCUGCGAAAAGCUGCGGGGAUCGGCACAUACGAAUUGAUCCGCAGAUAUCCCAAUGGGGCAACCCACUAUGUUGAAGACAUAGUAUCCGAUAGGAGGCGAACCCGCUGAACUGAAACAUCUAAGUAGGCGGAGGAGAAGAAAACAAAAGUGAUUGCGUAAGUAGUGGCGAGCGAAAGCGCAUUAGCCCAAACCGUUGUUGUUACGGCAAUAACGGGGUUGUAGGACCACAAUAUUUCUUGUAAACUGAAUUAGAAUAACCUUGGAAAGGUUAACCCAAGAGGGUGAUAGUCCCGUAUAAGUAAAGAAUAUAAAGAAUAGUGUUAUCCUGAGUAGGGCGGGGCACGUGAAACCCUGUCUGAAUCUGGCGGGACCAUCCGCUAAGGCUAAAUACUCCUGAGAGACCGAUAGUGAACCAGUACCGUGAGGGAAAGGUGAAAAGAACCGUGAAUAACGGAGUGAAAUAGAACCUGAAACCAUACGCCUACAAGCGGUCGGAGCAGCAUAAUCUGUGACGGCGUGCCUUUUGCAUAAUGAGCCUACGAGUUACCGUUGCUGGCAAGGUUAAGUGAUUAAGUCACGGAUCCGUAGCGAAAGCGAGUCUGAAUAGGGCGCGAUUCAAUCUAAGGGAUUGAAAGGGAAUUAAAACGUUUUUUUACCUUAAGUCAGUAGUGGUAGACGCGAAACCGUGUGAUCUACCCAUGGACAGGAUGAAGCUUUGUUAACCCAAAGUGGAGGUCCGAACCCGUUGACGUUGAAAAGUCUUGGGAUGAUCUGUGGGUAGGGGUGAAAGGCCAAUCAAACUCGGAAAUAGCUCGUACUCCCCGAAAUGCAUUUAGGUGCAGCGCUCAAGUUAAGUUAUAUAGAGGUAGAGCUACUGAUUGGAUGCGGGGGCUUCACCGCCUACCAAUUCCUGACAAACUCCGAAUGCUAUAUAAUAUAUUGAGCAGUGAGGGCUUGGGUGCUAAGGUCCAAGUCCGAGAGGGAAAGAACCCAGACCAUCAGCUAAGGUCCCCAAAUGUAUGCUAAGUUGAACAAACGCGGUUUGAUUGCAUCGACAGCUAGGAUGUUGGCUUGGAAGCAGCCAUUCAUUUAAAGAGUGCGUAACAGCUCACUAGUCGAGCGAUCGAGCAUGGAUAAUAAUCGGGCAUAAGUAUACUACCGAAGCUAUGGAUUUGUACUAAGUACAAGUGGUAGGGGAGCAUUCUAACAUCGCCGAAGGUAUCUUGUGAGAGGUGCUGGAGAGGUUAGAAAAGAAAAUGUAGGCAUAAGUAACGAUAAGGGGUGCGAGAAACACCCCCGCCGAAAAACUAAGGUUUCCGCAGCUAUGCUAAUCAGCUGCGGGUUAGUCGGGUCCUAAGGCAAAUCCGAAAGGAGUAGUCGAUGGCCAACGGGUUAAUAUUCCCGUACUAGUUAUAAUUGUGAUGGAGUGACGCAGUGGUGAAAGUACCGCGAACUGACGGAAUAGUUCGUUAAAGCACUUAGCUAAAGGCCCGGUAGGCAAAUCCGCUGGGACUGGUGAAAUGCGAUAGUACUCGGAUUCUUCGGAUGAAGGGAUAGUGUACCUAAAGGCUGCCAAGAAAACCUUCUAAACAUAGAUUAUAAGUACCCGUACCGUAAACCGACACAGGUAGUUGAGGAGAGUAUCCUAAGGCGCUCGAGAGAUUCAUGGCUAAGGAAUUAGGCAAAAUAGACCUGUAACUUCGGGAGAAAGGUCGCCAGCGCAAGCUGGCCGCAGUGAAAAGGUCCGAGGCGACUGUUUAUCAAAAACACAGGGCUCUGCAAAAUCGUAAGAUGACGUAUAGGGCCUGACACCUGCCCGGUGCUGGAAGGUUAAGAGGAGAUGUUAUCUUCGGAGAAGCAUUGAAUUGAAGCCCCAGUAAACGGCGGCCGUAACUAUAACGGUCCUAAGGUAGCGAAAUUCCUUGUCGGGUAAGUUCCGACCUGCACGAAUGGUGUAACGAUCUGGACACUGUCUCAGCCAUGAGCUCGGUGAAAUUGUAGUAUCGGUGAAGAUGCCGAUUACCCGCAGUGGGACGAAAAGACCCUGUGCACCUUUACUAUAGCUUAGUAUUGGUCUUGGAUAAGUGAUGUGUAGGAUAGGUGGGAGACUGUGAAAUGGCGUCGCUAGGCGUUGUGGAGUCAUUGUUGAAAUACCACCCUUUGCUUAUCUGAGGUCUAACUCCUAAAAAAGGAGGACAUUGCUUGGUGGGUAGUUUGACUGGGGUGGUCGCCUCCAAAAGAGUAACGGAGGCUUCUAAAGGUUCCCUCAGCACGCUUGGUAACCGUGCGUAGAGUGCAAUGGCAAAAGGGAGCUUGACUGAGAGACAUACAGGUCGAUCAGGUACGAAAGUAGAGCAUAGUGAUCCGGUGGUUCCGUAUGGAAGGGCCAUCGCUCAAAGGAUAAAAGGUACGCCGGGGAUAACAGGCUGAUCUCCCCCAAGAGCUCACAUCGACGGGGGGUUUGGCACCUCGAUGUCGGCUCGUCACAUCCUGGGGCUGGAGAAGGUCCCAAGGGUUGGGCUGUUCGCCCAUUAAAGUGGCACGCGAGCUGGGUUCAGAACGUCGUGAGACAGUUCGGUCUCUAUCUACUGUGGGCGUUAGAAAUUUGAGUGGAUCUGACUCUAGUACGAGAGGACCGAGUUGGACCAACCGCUGGUGUAUCUGUUGUUCCGCCGGGAGCACCGCAGAGUAGCUACGUUGGGAAGGGAUAAGCGCUGAAAGCAUAUAAGCGCGAAACCCACCACAAGAUGAGAUUUCUUUUAAGGGUCGUGGAAGAUGACCACGUUGAUAGGCUAUAGAUGUAAAGGCAGUAAUGUCAGAGUCAAGUAGUACUAAUAACCCGUAAGCUUAUUGUA
rnacentral:rRNA from 1 species